AAAAAUACAAAAUUUAAAAUUUAAAUUUUGACCCCUAACUUUCUUAAAAUUACAUUUUAACCCUUAAACUUUUUUAAAAUUACAUUUUAAUCCCCUAACUUCCUAAAAUUGCACUUUAACCCUAAAAGUUUUACACCCUUUGUAAUCUGGUCCUUCUAGCACAAAAUCCCCAGUCGCCAGGCGCGAUUUGUACAUCUGCCCUCCGUGAUUUUCGGCGGCCGGCGUGGGCAUUGGGGCCCUCCUCUAAUUGCUACCUGAAAAAGGAGAAAAAUAUUAACAAAAUAAAAGGGAUUAUCCCUUUCAAAAUCGACAGCAAGAAGAAACAAAAAAAGCAAAAAAAUAAAAAAAAUUAGCCAAAAAGAUUCGGUUGAGCCCUACCGCCACUGUGACCACCGCCGCACCACCGGCUUCCCUCUUUUACCAUUGCCAAAACCUAAGCAACAAGCAAGAAAAAAAUAAAAAAAGGCAGCCAAAGAAAAAAACAACAAAAAAAACAAAAAAAUUGGCUUACCUACAACCUACCGUCACCCCUUUACCCAUCGCCGCCACUAUGACCACCCCAUAGCUGACCCAUUGCCUUGCCUCUUCCACUAUUACCAACACCCAAACAACCAAAACAAAACGAGAAGGAAAAAAGGAGAAAGAAAGGAGAAAAAAAAGAGAGAAAGAAGAGAAGAAAAGAAAAAAAAAAUAUGAGAGAAGGAGAUGAGAGGAGGGGAUGGAGCGCCGGCAGUCGUCGUACCACCGGGCAGAGGAAUCGACAGCGUGAAGGGGGCUAGGGCUUGAGAAGAAGGAGCAAAAAAGAAAAAAAAAGAAAAAAAAGAAAGAAGAAAGAAAAAAGAAAAAGAAAAAAAGAAAAAAAAAGGAUAGGUCGGAUCCGAGCCGACCAACACCACCGACUGACCUGACCCAAACAACAAC
rnacentral:lncRNA from 1 species